rnacentral:lncRNA from 1 species
AUCAACUAGGUAGUUACUGCAAGACUCCCCUCCCCAGAAUUUCAACGCCUGCUAAACUCCCUGCCCCUUGCUCGAUCUCUCUUAUUCUUCUUCUCCGACCCCAAACCCAUUUUCUCUCUUUGCAAUCUGGCUCCCUUACAUCUUCUUCUUUGCCUUGUUUGCAUACACUUUUAGAAGCCUAUUUUUUCUAAUUUUUUGGGCGUCUCAUUAUUCCCAAUCUACUGGAUCUCCGUCUUCUCCUCCAAUUAGAGCGCAUGAGAUCUCGCCGGUGUCUGGUUUGGAGAAUACGAUUUCAGAUGGGACUCUUUUCACUGGGGGUAAUUAAGCUUCAUCUUUUUUUAUUUUAUUGUUAUAAUUUAAUAUGUUUCAAUUCUUCCAUUUUUUUAAUUUAAUCAAUUACAAAUUAUGGGAAAUGAUAAAUGGUUUAUUUGUGGUAGUUAAUGCUUAAAAAAUGAAGGUAAUUUUGAUAUGAUUUUUCAUGGAUAAAAUCAUAUGGUUGUGUUUUUACUCGGCUUUGUGAUGAUUAUCUUUCCAGUUAUGAGUUCAAUCAAUUGCAUUGUGGGAACGAACAAUUCCCCGUCUUAAAUCACCAUUUAUCGGUCUGGAAAUGGUUGAUUACAACGACAGAGACAAGUCAUAAGUGGUAGUUAAUGGAGUAAAUAUGUAUCAUGUUUGGUUUUUGUGCACUAGAUAACCUGAAUGUGUAAGCAAUUGAUAAGAAGCUAAUGACUUAGGUCAGGUGGGAGAUAGAACGGAGCAGCAAAGAAAUAUAUAGUAUAUAUUUCCAGAAAUGUAUGUAGUGGCUGUAGUAGAUUCGUGAUCUAAUCAUGUGUUUAUCUAUUCAUUUUUUAAAUUGAGAUCAAAUGUAUAGUUCCACCCAUAGCAGUACAAGAUUUUGUUUUUCUUUUCAUCCAUAUACUUAUGUCUAUGCAGAUCAAAGGAGGCAACAACUUCUGAAGCUCAAGCAUUCGAGGCAGUGUUUCACUCUCGAAGUCCUUUGUUUGGAGGUGUUCAAAGAAAAAUGAAGUGUUCAAGUAACUAUGUCUUGGUUAUUGGAGGUUUAUUUGGUACUUCAUGGAUAAAUUGAUAUUUCUUAGUAUAACUCGGUGGUUCUUUUUUU